rnacentral:rRNA from 1 species
CGCGGCCUAUCAGCUUGUUGGUGGGGUAAUGGCCUACCAAGGCGGCGACGGGUAGCCGGCCUGAGAGGGUGUACGGCCACAUUGGGACUGAGAUACGGCCCAGACUCCUACGGGAGGCAGCAGUGGGGAAUAUUGCACAAUGGGCGCAAGCCUGAUGCAGCGACGCCGCGUGGGGGAUGAAGGUCUUCGGGUUGUAAACUCCUUUCGCUAGGGACGAAGCUUUUUGUGACGGUACCUAGAUAAGAAGCACCGGCUAACUACGUGCCAGCAGCCGCGGUAAUACGUAGGGUGCGAGCGUUGUCCGGAAUUACUGGGCGUAAAGGGCUCGUAGGUGGUUUGUCGCGUCGUCUGUGAAAUUCUGGGGCUUAACUCCGGGCGUGCAGGCGAUACGGGCAUAACUUGAGUGCUGUAGGGGUAACUGGAAUUCCUGGUGUAGCGGUGAAAUGCGCAGAUAUCAGGAGGAACACCGAUGGCGAAGGCAGGUUACUGGGCAGUUACUGACGCUGAGGAGCGAAAGCAUGGGUAGCGAACAGGAUUAGAUACCCUGGUAGUCCAUGCCGUAAACGGUGGGCGCUAGGUGUGAGGGUCUUUCUACGACUUUCGUGCCGUAGCUAACGCAUUAAGCGCCCCGCCUGGGGAGUACGG